CCGAACACGGAAGUUAAGCCUCUUAGCGCCGAUGGUACUUCCCUGGCGACGGGGUGGGAGAGUAGGUCGCUGCCGGCA
rnacentral:rRNA from 1 species